CUUGGUCAUUUAGAGGAAGUAAAAGUCGUAACAAGGUUUCCGUAGGUGAACCUGCGGAAGGAUCAUUAUCGAAAUUAUAGGCGAGGGUUGUAGCUGGCCUCCCGGGGCAUGUGCACGCCUGAGCCCUUAAUCCCACACACACCUGUGAACCUAUUGUAAGGGCCCGUAAAAAAGGCCUUUACGUCUUUAUCACCCACACGAAAGUCUCAAUAGAAUGUAAAUGUAAUGUCCUCGCCUUAAAAAAGCGUUGAUAAAAAAAAGUUAUACAACUUUCAACAACGGAUCUCUUGGCUCUCGCAUCGAUGAAGAACGCAGCGAAAUGCGAUAAGUAAUGUGAAUUGCAGAUUUUCAGUGAAUCAUCGAAUCUUUGAACGCACCUUGCGCUCCUUGGUAUUCCGAGGAGCAUGCCUGUUUGAGUGUCAUUAAAUUCUCAAACUCUGAUUGAUUUUGCUUCGGUCAGAGCUUUGGAUUUGGAGCGUGCUGGCGUCAGUCGGCUCCUCUUGAAUGCAUCAGCGGAAUCCCCAUUCAUUUCGGACGUCAGUGUGAUAAUCACGUUGCGCUGUCUCUUGCCGAUCUUGAAAGCCCGCUCACAAUGGUCUUUGGACAAACCUCACAUCAAAUUUGACCUCAAAUCAGGUAGGACUACCCGCUGAACUUAAGCAUAUCAAUAAGCGGAGGA
rnacentral:rRNA from 1 species